rnacentral:rRNA from 1 species
GGGUUGUGAGGUUAAGCGACUAAGCGUACACGGUGGAUGCCCUGGCAGUCAGAGGCGAUGAAGGGCGUGCUAAUCUGCGAUAAGCGCCGGUAAGGUGAUAUGAACCGUUAUAACCGGCGAUACCCGAAUGGGGAAACCCAGUGUGAUUCGUCACACUAUCAUUAACUGAAUCCAUAGGUUAAUGAGGCGAACCGGGGGAACUGAAACAUCUAAGUACCCCGAGGAAAAGAAAUCAACCGAGAUUCCCCCAGUAGCGGCGAGCGAACGGGGAGGAGCCCAGAGCCUGAAUCAGCAUGUGUGUUAGUGGAAGCGUCUGGAAAGGCGCGCGAUACAGGGUGACAGCCCCGUACACAAAAGCGCAUGUGCUGUGAGCUCGAUGAGUAGGGCGGGACACGUGGUAUCCUGUCUGAAUAUGGGGGGACCAUCCUCCAAGGCUAAAUACUCCUGACUGACCGAUAGUGAACCAGUACCGUGAGGGAAAGGCGAAAAGAACCCCGGCGAGGGGAGUGAAAAAGAACCUGAAACCGUGUACGUACAAGCAGUGGGAGCACAGGUUUACCUGUGUGACUGCGUACCUUUUGUAUAAUGGGUCAGCGACUUAUAUUCUGUAGCAAGGUUAACCGUAUAGGGGAGCCGGAGGGAAACCGAGUCUUAAUUGGGCGUUAAGUUGCAGGGUAUAGACCCGAAACCCGGUGAUCUAGCCAUGGGCAGGUUGAAGGUUGGGUAACACUAACUGGAGGACCGAACCGACUAAUGUUGAAAAAUUAGCGGAUGACCUGUGGCUGGGGGUGAAAGGCCAAUCAAACCGGGAGAUAGCUGGUUCUCCCCGAAAGCUAUUUAGGUAGCGCCUCGUGAAUUCAUCUCCGGGGGUAGAGCACUGUUUCGGCUAGGGGGCCAUCCCGGCUUACCAACCCGAUGCAAACUGCGAAUACCGGAGAAUGUUAUCACGGGAGACACACGGCGGGUGCUAACGUCCGUCGUGAAGAGGGAAACAACCCAGACCGCCAGCUAAGGUCCCAAAGUCAUGGUUAAGUGGGAAACGAUGUGGGAAGGCCCAGACAGCCAGGAUGUUGGCUUAGAAGCAGCCAUCAUUUAAAGAAAGCGUAAUAGCUCACUGGUCGAGUCGGCCUGCGCGGAAGAUGUAACGGGGCUAAACCAUGCACCGAAGCUGCGGCAGCGAACGUAUCACCCAAGACAACUUUACGGAGUUGACGAUUGACGGAGCGAAGCGACGUCAAAGCGUUCAUUAAAGUCGAGUUGGCUUAGGGAUACGUUCGUUGGGUAGGGGAGCGUUCUGUAAGCCUGUGAAGGUGUGUCGUGAGGCAUGCUGGAGGUAUCAGAAGUGCGAAUGCUGACAUAAGUAACGAUAAAGCGGGUGAAAAGCCCGCUCGCCGGAAGACCAAGGGUUCCUGUCCAACGUUA